CAGAGACAGCCUCACCUGCUGCAUCAGUCCCUCCACCUCCUGAAACAGCAGCCAUUGUCACUGCCAAUCCACAGACAAACGCAGCAACUACAGGCUCAGCAGAGCUUGUUCCCCUGCCUAACUAUGUGAAGCUGUUGUUGCUGAAAUACCUAAACAGCCUGUGCCAGCCAAGGAGACCUGGGAUGCCAGGAGUAACAUUGGAAGGGUGUGUAAAGGAUCCAACCUGUGGGAAUCAGCCUUCACCAGGCCAGAGGCUCAUCCAGCUCCGUUACGGGGCUGCUGUAAACCCCAGACUCUGCCUGAGGUGCAAAGUAUCAGGGUGCAAUGCACCCCGUCCUCCUCCUCCUCCUCCCAGACCCUUCCCAGGGGGCAGGCUCCCUCCUGUCAGACCCUUCCCAGGGAACAGGCUCCCUCCUGUCAGACCCUUCCCAGGGAACAGGUUCCCUCCUGUCAGACCCUUCCCAGGGAACAGGUUCCCCCCUCCCAGACCCUUCCCAUGGAACAGGAGAAGAGCCAGGAGAAGCGCAAGCGACGUCGUUAUUAUCAUCGUCUCCUAGUAAUGAUGCUUCUGACCAUGGCAUUAUGUUGAGCACCUCUAGACCUGUUCAUUGUGUUCCAAGAUCUGCUGCUGAUUUCCAAAAAUAUGCUAGUGGGCGUAAAUCUAAAGGUAUUUCAUCUUAAAUGAACUUGGGUUGCUUAAAUUCAGAUCUUUCGAAUCUAUGCGGUGGAUCUUGUAAAA